GAUCAUGGCUCAGAUUGAACGCUGGCGGCAGGCUUAACACAUGCAAGUCGAGCGCGUAGCAAUACGAGCGGCAGACGGGUGAGUAACGCGUGGAAUCUACCCAACCCUACGGAAUAACGCAUGGAAACGUGUGCUAAUACCGUGUACGCCCUUUGGGGGAAAGAUUUAUCGGGGAUGGAUGAGCCCGCGUUGGAUUAGCUAGUUGGUGGGGUAAAGGCCUACCAAGGCGACGAUCCAUAGCUGGUCUGAGAGGAUGAUCAGCCACAUUGGGACUGAGACACGGCCCAAACUCCUACGGGAGGCAGCAGUGGGGAAUAUUGGACAAUGGGCGCAAGCCUGAUCCAGCCAUGCCGCGUGAGUGAUGAAGGCCCUAGGGUUGUAAAGCUCUUUCACCGGUGAAGAUAAUGACGGUAACCGGAGAAGAAGCCCCGGCUAACUUCGUG
rnacentral:rRNA from 1 species